CGCUACAGCUCCGAGGGGUGACACCAGUGGGGGACACCCCCCGCACAAACACAUCUGCAGGGCUGCAAGUUGCUCGAGGACCGGGGUCUUUUGUGCCUCCACUUCGUCUCUGUCAUGCCCCGUAUGGAAGCUGGGAGCAGUCACCCCUCCAGAAGCAGAAGGCGAAGUCGUUCGCAAUGAAUCCAUGGCAGCUUCGAUCGAGCGGUGUGCUGGAGCACCUACUCACAGGCCACUCCUUCAUGUGACUGAACAGAGACCUUUCCCAGCAAUCGCCAAGGAGAGCAGAGCCCUGGAUUUACCUCCCGCGCAGCCGGGCACCCCCAGCGCAGGCACUGCGAGAUUCCAGUGACAGAUGGAUCUCUCUCAUGCACACUUGCUCUUUCCUUCUCUGUAUUUUUGUUUUCGACAUGUUUGAUCCGAAGCUCUGAAGCUUCUCAGAGGGAACCCAGGAAAGAAGGAAGAGAAGGAGUAGAAACCAAGGGAGCGUGAGCGGCACGGGAGGCAGCCCUGCCUUGUUCUUCCAAAUCACACUGUGGAGGGGCGGGGGAAGACUAGAGGGGGAGGACUUGGGUUUGUUUUGGGGUGGGU
rnacentral:lncRNA from 1 species